GGAGACGGCGCGGGGCGGGAGCUGGGGGGCGCCUGGUCGCCAUGUUGGUCGCGGGCUGUGGUGGGAGGGCGACAGGCCUUGUAAAGGCUGUGACACGGAUUCUAACCCUGGCUUUCCCUUCACCUGGAGUGGCAGUGCCUCCAGCGCCGGGGAGACUGGGAGACCGCUCACCUGAGCAUCCUUAUGACUAACUCUUUCCCCGUGUCCUCUCCUGGCCUCAUCCUACGGGAGAAGCGCUUAGGGUCGGGAGAGGACAAUGCGACACCGUGCUCCCCUCCCACACACACUCCAGGGCAGGACGGCCAGGCCACACUUUCCAUUUCUGAGCCGCGGUCCCUCAUGACUGCCAAGUCCGCCUCUCCCUUCCGUGCCCACGCGCCUACAUUUUGCUCUCCCCGCCCCCCGCCGUCCUUCGUUCCCUCUAAUCCCUUGUCCCCUUCCGUUUAUAAGUUACAGAUGGACAGAUCCAAACUGCUGAGUAAUCCAUAAUAAACCUCGUAAUAAAUUCUGGCAGGCCAGCAUGCUGAAAACUGGUAACAAACAUUGUAAAACCAACCUUUCAUUUUAAAUACGAUUCAAGAUGUACCAUGCUACUGUGUCUAGACUGGUAGAAUAAAUUCUGAAAUGAUGGUGGGUUAUCUCUCCUAUUGUCUACAACCAAAUUUAGUAAUUUGCUAUUAAAAUACUUGGAUCAGAAACGAGUUGGAUCGCAUGCCUUAUGCUUUCACUUUUCAUGUGUGAGACAAAAUAAAAGUGUGUCUGUACAUCUAGUCACAUUCAAUAGAACAAAAAUAUUUAGAUAUUGGCAAAAAAACUGGCAAGUCAGAAGUGUUCAUUUCUACUGCUCCAGACGAGAUAAGGCAAUGGAAACAAGGACAUCUAAGCUGAAUCCGUGAUUGCCUCACAUCGUGAAGUGUAGUGGGUGCUGUGGUGUCUUCUCAUUGGCUGUUUCUCCUUAUCUUCCACACCCUCCUGCCGGGUUCUCCUCUGAUGCAGAGAAAAGAUGUUUUAGGAAAAGAAGUCUCCAUGUUAAAGGUCAUGCCACCACUGCUGCUAUCACGACAUUACUGAACCGGACUGCUGGUAUGUGCGUGAAGUGUUUGCAAGUGGAUCAAGCUGCCACAGCUGACCGGUGAACGGAACUGCUGACUUCCUGACAAUGCAGAAGGGAUUUGCUCCAAAGAACCAUUUCUAAACAGGUCCACUUCCCCUGUAUCCUAAUAACCUAUCUUUCC
rnacentral:lncRNA from 1 species